UGUUUAUACUUGUGAUGCUUGCUCUUGUAAUGUUCGGCACUGGUUGUGCCCUCGCUAUUGUUUUGAUCAUGUAUGUAUUCAAGUUGAUUUUCUGGGAACUUGUUGUACAUGAUCCUGUUGUUUAGCCUUGGGCGGACAGGGGAGGUGAUGUCCGUUCGGCAUCUAUUUGACGUGCCCGGACCGGACGAAAUUGCUAUCGGUCGCGGGGCAUGACAAAGGCGGUUCGUGGAUUCGGAUCGUGGGCUCAUGGAUUCGAGUGGGCGUCGUGGAUUCGACGUGAUCGAGGCUUCGUGGAUUCGAAGUGGUGACGUUUCGUGGAUUCGGGAGGUGGCGUUCGUGGAUUCGGACAUGGGGUGUGGACAACCCGUUGGUGUGUGCGAGAUCUGAAGAAGAUAAAAGAGAGGUUUGAGUCUGUGGAUUCGGUAAAUCACUUUGUUAUCUUUUAUUCUUAGUGGAUUGUUAUCGCGUGUUGGUCUCGUGAUUUUUUUUA
rnacentral:lncRNA from 1 species